rnacentral:rRNA from 1 species
ACGGAAGGUCCGGGCGUUAUCCGGAUUUAUUGGGUUUAAAGGGAGCGUAGGCCGGAGAUUAAGCGUGUUGUGAAAUGUAGAUGCUCAACAUCUGCACUGCAGCGCGAACUGGUUUACUUGAGUACGCACAAAGUGGGCGGAAUUCGUGGUGUAGCGGUGAAAUGCUUAGAUAUCACGAAGAACUCCGAUUGCGAAGGCAGCUCACUGGAGCGCAACUGACGCUGAAGCUCGAAAGUGCGGGUAUCGAACAG